CCUACGGGGGGCAGCAGUGGGGAAUAUUGCACAAUGGGCGCAAGCCUGAUGCAGCGACGCCGCGUGAGGGAUGACGGCCUUCGGGUUGUAAACCUCUGUUAGCAGGGAAGAAGAGAGAUUGACGGUACCUGCAGAGAAAGCGCCGGCUAACUACGUGCCAGCAGCCGCGGUAAUACGUAGGGCGCGAGCGUUGUCCGGAAUUAUUGGGCGUAAAGAGCUUGUAGGCGGUUUGUCGCGUCUGCUGUGAAAGGCCGGGGCUUAACCCCGUGUAUUGCAGUGGGUACGGGCAGACUAGAGUGCAGUAGGGGAGACUGGAAUUCCUGGUGUAGCGGUGGAAUGCGCAGAUAUCAGGAGGAACACCGAUGGCGAAGGCAGGUCUCUGGGCUGUAACUGACGCUGAGAAGCGAAAGCAUGGGGAGCGAACAGGAUUAGAUACCCUGGUAGUC
rnacentral:rRNA from 1 species